GGGCGCUUAGCGCAGGGGUAGCGCGUUCGCUUCGCAUCGACGUGUGCUACUGCGAAAGGUCGUUGGUUCAAAUCCUACAGUGUCCA